CACGUAGGGGGCAAGCGUUGUCCGGAAUCAUUGGGCGUAAAGAGCGUGUAGGCGGCUCGAUAAGUCUGCUGUGAAAGUCCAGGGCUCAACCCUGGAAGGCCGGUGGAAACUGUCGGGCUAGAGUCCGGAAGAGGCGAGUGGAAUUCCCGGUGUAGCGGUGAAAUGCGCAGAUAUCGGGAGGAACACCAAUGGCGAAGGCAGCUCGCUGGGACGGUACUGACGCUCAGACGCGAAAGCGUGGGGAGCAAACGGG
rnacentral:rRNA from 1 species